GUGGGGCGCCUCCGCCCGCCAGCCGCUCCCGCAUUAAAAUUUCAUGGGCGCUGCAGCAGCUACAAAGACGACGCCGGCUGCGCUCGAGGGACCAGAGGGAGGGAGGCUGCGGACGAGUGCGGGGAGGAGUUUGCGAUGGGAGGCGCUUGCAGGGGCUCCCCCAGUUCUGCGCUGUGAGCCCGGGCACAAAGAGCCCUCUGCACUCGCGCCGCAGGACCGCCGACCCGAGCUGGAAGCAUCUUCCUGCCCACCCAUGUAGCUCCAGACACGUUCACAUGGCCGCCAUGAUCCUGACAGCAUCAAAAGGGUGACCAAGGUGACUCUUCCUCUCCUUCUGUGCACCCCGGGGACGGCAGACACUGCCUUCCUGCUGUGUGGUCAGGUCCACCACGAAACCCAUAUGUGCGGAGACCUCCUGAAUCUCAGAGGUUUUGCCUUUUCUGGACAUUUCAUAAACGUGGAAUCAUACAGCGCCUGGUCUCUUGUGCCUGGCUUCUUUCACUCCGUAUGAUAUUUCUGAGAGUGCAACAAGUUCCUGGGACGGAGGAGAGAGAAGGGAAUUUCUGGGUUCUUCAGGAUGUUCGCGACCACACCGGAAGCAGCCCUGCAGAUAAGUAUUCCAACUUACCGCAGCCUGAGGGCCAGCCUGCCCUCUCCUGGUCUGUGCAGGAAAGUGCAGUAUCCCGGAAUCUCCACGGGAGGGGAGACAUUGGUGAUACAGCUCAUUUGCGUUUCAACCUCUGUGCCACAGAGAAAGAGUUUGUCCUCAUUUUCUGGGGCCCCAGAAAGGGUAAUUUUCCUACCCCACUUUUGGCAUCAGGCUAGUAUUUUAUAAACUCCGCCACCAGGAACUUCUGAGAGCUGAGCUGAAUGACUUCACCUUGAGCAGCCCUGGAGCUGGUGUCAGGAGGCGGCUGGGCACGCCUGGUGAUCUGGGCCGGCCCUUCUCUUCUCACUCUGGCCCUUUGUGAUCCUAUUUAUAAAACUUGGCCAGGGCUCCUUUGCCGGGCAGUCAAGCGGGGACCUCAGCGCUGUGCAGGUAGGGCACAUUCUUCUCAGUGCAAGGGCCUGAGUGCGUCUCCGGCUCUGGUCCUGUGCCCCAAGUCCCGGGUGCUGACAGCAAGCUCUGAAAAUACACGAAGAGGGCCCUGGACUCUCCUGGUGUGAGUCUGCCAGUCAACAAAGAUAGCUUAGCUGUCACCAAAGGCAAUGCCUGGGGGAUGGUCCUGGGUCAGGCUUAGUGGGUAUCUGAGGGGGGGACAGAAAAAUAAGAGGCUGAGCAGAAGGGCCCCUCCUGUCUCCCCUCCACCGCCUCCAAGAAUGGGUUACUAUUGUGCACCUUGGGUGAAAGUCAGGUCCCACGGUCCAGAAAGACGGACAGACUUCCCAGGGCUCCACAGUAUGGCAGAGCUGGGACCAGAACUCCCAAUUCCUGACUCUGUUCAGCUGUCGUCCAGCUGAGUCUGUCUCACUUUCUCCUGGGUCCCAUUCUGCUGUUGUUGGGAACAGGGAGGUGUGUGAAGGGAGCCCCCUCCCCGCCCCUAGGACAGUCUGGGGUGGGAGGAAGGGAGGUGGCGGGUGUGUGUCCCGGCCCAGCCUCCCUGGCUCCUGGGCCUUCUGAGAAUUCUGGCCAGACCCGGGCUGGGGAGGGGGCCUGGGUGCGGUUUUCUCCUGCGGCGUGGCUGGCUCUUGUCUUCUAGGAUGGGCCUGUGGGGUCUGCGUGGGGAAGGAGCUGGGAGCUGGGCCUGGGCUGCCAGUGUGUUGGCUGGGCGCUGCCAGACGUGGACCCAGUGCCUUCUCCCAGCUAGAUGCUGAGGAUCCGGAGGUGAACACCACAGAUGUGGCUCUGCCCUCUCAGAUCUUCACGUGAGAAGGUGCUUUAGCACAGUCUCUGCGAGGGAAUGAGCUCCCCGUCCUGGGAGGCGGCUCUGCCCAGCUGCAUCUCCAGGACUCCUGCGUGGUCUCCUCUUUGGAGCCCGGGUGACUCUGGACUCUGGUCACAAUGACACACAGAGCAGCCUUCAGUAGUUUCCUGGAACCUUGGACAAUUGCCUGAAGACCUUAUCCUUCCCAACUCCCGAGAUGGAGCCUCCUGUGGAUACAGGCCCCUCCUGGUCGGAGCUCAGGGCCUGGCUCUGGAGGACAGCUGGAGGGGCGUGCGGGAGGCCGGCAACCCAUCGUCCCCUCCUCACCUGCCUGGACCUGCCUGCUGGGCCUUCCUGUCAGGGCCUGGAGACCGUCCUGGCCCCAUGGGGAUUCGUUCCUCCUUGCAUCCCUGCCAGCAACCAGACAGAGCUUGGCCCGGCCAAGGCCCCACUGACCACACCCUCCCCACGCUGGGUCUCCAAGGACCCUCCGGGACAGGGGUGGGAGCGCGGGAUGGGAGUCGGGGAGGAGCUGCAGUGGGAGGGGGGCCGUCGCAGCUCUGGGGGCGCAGCUGGCUGGAGUCUCUCUUGCGCCGUUUGCUGUGUGAGUGAUUCUCAUUUUGGGGGUGUGUUUUGGAUGGGGCUUGUCUGUGCUUCUCCUCUUCUUGAGGGUCGCAGGGAGGAGGCAGCCAGGGUCAGGGGCAGCCCGGGCCUCCCUCUAGUGUCGCUGAGUUCUGGGAGGGGCAGAUGGAGGGGAGAGGGUGUGCUGUCCUGAGAGGGGAGGGCUUCCCAGAGAUGAGGAGGCUCAGGCCAGGGGCGCUCGCAGGAAGGAGACAGACACUGGGCCUUGUUCCCGCCGUCCAAAGGGAAUGGGCUGGAACCAGCCUUGCCGCAUGGCUUGAGGGGUCCCCCCAAGCCCGAUCGCAGACCCCUGCUCCUUGCUGCGCUGAUCCUCAAUUCUGUCCUUGGGGAGCAAGGGCAGGCAGGGCGGGCCCCACGUGUGUGCAGCUCCCCCACCACACUCGCGGAGUUACUCCUGUCCACCUCCCCAUCCUCCCCUCGGUCCAGCCCCUCCAGGGGGCAGUCCCUGUGCUUGCACAGGAGCAGCCGUGGCCUUCCUUAAGAGCCCUCGUCAUUUUCCCAGGUUGAGGAGGGGGCCUGUGUUAGUCUGCUGGGGCUGCCAUAACAAAAUACCACAGGCUGGGGGCUUAAACAGCAGAAAUGUAUUUUCUCACAGUUCUGGAGGCUGGGGGGUCUAAGAUCAAGGUGUCAGGGGUGGUUUCUGGUGAGGGCUCUCUCCUUGGCUGCAGGUGGCACCUUCCUGCGGUGUCCUCACAUGGCCUCUUCUCUGUGCACACGGGCGGAGGGAGAGAGGGUGAGACGGAGAGAGAGAGAUCUGGUGUCUCUUCUUACAAGGACACCGGUCCUAUUGGAUUAGGUCCUCAUUUAGCCUUAAUUACCUCCUUAAAAGCCCUGUUUCCAAAUACAGUCACACUGGGGUUACAGCUUCAACCUAUGAAUUUGGGGGCACACAAUGCAGUCCAUACAGGUGGUCCCCACAAACAUGGAAAGCGAGAGGCAUGCCCUUCAGAAUCCCCACGCCCACAGGGAGAGGAGAGAGGAGCACAGAGGUUUGGGAAACAGAAGCAGAGUGCGGGAGAUACUGUGCUCGGGUGGCCCUCGGUGCCUUGGGGACACACGGAACGGGCUGGACCCAGUGCAGCAAGGAGGACCCCCCAGGAGAGGCGUGUCCUGGGAAGAGCCCGGGCACUGGAGCCCAAGGGUGCGCUCUCUGCUGACCAACCUCGGGCAAGUCACCUCACCUCUGUGCGUCCGAUUUCCACUCGGCAACGGGAGCCGUCUGCUCGCCUGGUGGGCGCAGGGAGGUUUCGAUGAACUCACCUGCAGACACAGUGCUUGACUCUUAGUAGGUGCUCAGUAGACGCCCCCAUCCAUCUGGGAGUUCAGAUUUAGAGCUUGUCUAUUCUGGGCGCUCUGGACUGUGAACUCAGCAUCUGCCAUCCGGAGGCCUUUCUGAUCAGCUCUUCGCCAGCCUAUUUUCUUAACAUCCCUCUCUAAUCAGUUUGUGGAAGUGGCUGAAUUUCGUGGCCCCCAUAGUAGCUCAGAGUGCUUCCUGGGGUAUUUAAAUUCUACCCCUGUCAUCAGAAUUGAGCACUUAUGGCGGGCCCUUCCCUGUGCUAGUCCUUUUGAGGGAAUGUAGGUGAAGGUCUGGCCAUGCCAAGUGGGAGACAACCAGCUCACGUGGAGAACUGGAGAAUGGGGAUAAAACAGUCCACUGAGGCACAGGCUCUGAGUGCCUGGGGGGUGGGAAUAAGAUCCCAGAGAGGGCUGCCGCAGCCUGGACAGGCUUCCCGGCAAGGCUGACCCAACCAGGGCCUUGAAGGAUGAGAAAGAUGUGGCUUAGCUGAGAGCUUCCAGGGGGAAGUUAGAGCAGAGAGCCCCGUAGUAAGUUCUAGGAGAUAUCACUGCUCUUUAAAAAAAAGCGAGUUACAUUCUGCAGAAUUCUGUAGUGCAGGACUUAUUAGAGCCUUUAAAAUGCUAAUGGGGAUCAUGAAUAUUCAAGGCCAGAGGAUGAUGUGUUCCCCCCCAGACUUUACUGGUAACAGAACCCUUUUCUUAUGGAGCAUCACUUAGAAGUGUGGGAGAUGCCAGGCUGGGAACACUCCAGCGGUGAU